rnacentral:rRNA from 1 species
CAGGGGGAUUUGGCAUUUAGUAGCGGCGAGUGAAGCGGCAAAAGCUCAAAUUUGAAAUCUGGCUCUUUCAGAGUCCGAGUUGUAAUUUGAAGAAGGUAUCUUUGGGUCUGGCUCUUGUCUAUGUUUCUUGGAACAGAACGUCACAGAGGGUGAGAAUCCCGUGCGAUGAGAUGAUCCAGGCCUAUGUAAAGUUCCUUCGAAGAGUCGAGUUGUUUGGGAAUGCAGCUCUAAGUGGGUGGUAAAUUCCAUCUAAAGCUAAAUAUUGGCGAGAGACCGAUAGCGAACAAGUACAGUGAUGGAAAGAUGAAAAGAACUUUGAAAAGAGAGUGAAAAAGUACGUGAAAUUGUUGAAAGGGAAGGGCUUGAGAUCAGACUUGGUAUUUUGUAUGUUACUUCUUCGGGGGUGGCCUCUACAGUUUAUCGGGCCAGCAUCAGUUUGGGCGGUAGGAGAAUUGCGUUGGAAUGUGGCACGGCUUCGGUUGUGUGUUAUAGCCUUCGUCGAUACUGCCAGCCUAGACUGAGGACUGCGGUUUAUACCUAGGAUGUUGGCAUAAUGAUCUUAAGUCGCCCGUCUUGAACCACGGACCA